UCCCUGGUGAUCCAGUGGUUAGGACUCCUCACUGUUACUGUUGAGGGCCUGGGUUCAAUCCCUGGUUGGGGAA
rnacentral:tRNA from 1 species